UCCAUACUCCCUCCGUCCAAAAAUACUUGUCAUAGAAAUGGAUACAAAUAGAUGUAUCUAGAACUAAAAUACAUCUAUAUACAUCCAUUCCUCGGACAAGUAUUUCCGGGCGAAGGGAGUACUUA
rnacentral:pre_miRNA from 1 species